UGCCCUACGGGAGGCAGCAGUGGGGAAUCUUCCGCAAUGGGCGCAAGCCUGACGGAGCAAUGCCGCGUGAACGAAGAAGGUCUUCGGAUUGUAAAGUUCUGUCCUUAUCGAAGAGAGGGUAUAGAGUGAAAAAUGAUAUACUAGGACGGUAGAUGAGGAGGAAGCCCCGGCUAACUACGUGCCAGCAGCCGCGGUAAUACGUAGGGGGCGAGUGUUAAUCGGAAUUACUGGGCGUAAAGCGCUCGUAGGCGGUAUGUCAAGUCAAGGGUGAAAUCCCCGCGCUCAACGUGGGAACUGCCUUUGAA
rnacentral:rRNA from 1 species